rnacentral:sRNA from 1 species
AUGUGAAAUUUUGCUUUGGAAAGUGAAAUUUUGCUUUGGAAAGUGAAAUUUUGCUUUGGAAAGUGAAAUUUCCU